GAGGCGGCGGCGCGGUCCCUGGGCCCCAGAGGGGAGGAGGCGACGUGGUCUCUGGGCCCCGGGGGUGUGUGUGUGUGUGUGUGCACUCCCCAGGCUGGGAGGCUACUGAGCAUUUGGGAGCAGGCGCCUGGCUUCUCCCCUCUCAGCGUGUGGACGGGGAGUGAGCUCUACGAGCCAGCCCUGCAGGGGGUCCCUACACAAGCCAAAGCUUUCAGCUCAGGGAGCUGGCUAGCCCCAGUGACACACGGGCGUGGGAUCAGAGGCCCCCCUGCUGAAGGGGCUGCUCAGCCGAGGCCCAGCCCCGAGCCCGAAUAAUUCAGUGUCACUCCACAGCGUCACGGGCAGCCUGGCUUGCUCCCGUCUGUCCUGAACAAGGGUUACGGUGACAUCCAUGGAUUGCCGAGUGUCUGUGGGGUGAGGUGGGCAGCGCCCAAUGUCCCCAGGCACGUCUCCUGCCCCCCACCCCCCUGACCAGAUGGGCCCCACGAACCCCGCCCUGGGCGAACCAGCCCCAGCGCCCCGGGCUACGUACCCAUGGUGGUUCCCACAGCCUCCUGCUAGAGAGCGUGUUGGCAGGCUCCAGCGCGGAGCAGGGAGAAGCGACUCGUGGAGCUGGGAGGGGAAUGCCAGUUAUGACAAGCCUGGCGUGGGGGCCGGGCUGCGGGAGGCAAACAGGCGAGGCCGGUUCUGAUAAGUGCAGGUGACGGGGCUUUUUACAGCCUGGAGGAGCCGGGGCCGCGGGAACUGGGAGAAAGGCAGCAGCACGGCAGGACUGGCUCUGCCAGAGCUGCAGGCCAGGCAGCAGGAGCAGGGCCUUGCCCCACUCCCCAGGGUCCCAGCCCAGGCAGAAGCCUCCAGCAUGCAGGACGGGCUAAGGGGGCUGUGCCCCGGCCCCAGGAAGGAAGCCCAGACACCACAGCAAGAAGGCGAGGGACGGGGCUCCCAGCCAGGCCAGGCAGGUGCCUCGGCCUGAUGAUUCGGAAUUGACCCGGCUUUUGCAAGUGACCCGUGCUGCUGUCUCAGGGGACACGGCCCAUUGGCUGCAGGUUGAAACUACAGAGUUUGUGCCUUCACGCUGCUCUUCAGCAACUCUGCAUUACUCAGGUUGAGUCCUCUCCCCCACUGGCUGCAUACACGUGGAUCAGUCAGCAGUUUUUAAAGCCUCCAUUUCCAACAAGUAACAUCAAUUGCUCUAUGAUUCUACCCUGUUGCUGCACACAGCAUUUACUACGUUUGGCUUCCCCUCUCCACUUGGAAGGCAAAGGUCUGGUGCAAGGGGCGGCCCCGUACUCAGCAUGAGAAACAAACUGGAGUUACACCUACGGCUUAUUUUAUUGUAUUUUUAUUUGCAUGAGGAGUUGAAACAAACUUUAGGGGUUUACUAAACAGGAACUGUUCAUGUCAAACAAACUAUAGUUAGCAGGUGAUGGGGGAAGGGGGGCACAGCAAUCCUGGGGAAGGCAGAGAUGGAGGGGGGAAGCGGCUGAUGUCUUUUUACAUGUGCACACACUAAACCUGUGCAUGAAUAGGCCUCUCCUCCCUACACACUCACUGACCACAGAGUUAUUUGCUAAACCUCUUCAGAACAUUGUAAAUGUCAAGCUGAAGGUAAAUGAAACCACAACUUUCCUUAGCCAGCACAGGAGGAAUUUGCUUUUUUGUUUUAGAAAAAGAUUAAUAAAAA